rnacentral:rRNA from 1 species
UACGUAGGUGGCGAGCGUUAUCCGGAUUUACUGGGUGUAAAGGGUGUGUAGGCGGGACUGCAAGUCAGAUGUGAAAAGUACAGGCUUAACCUGUGACCUGCAUUUGAAACUGUGGUUCUUGAGGGUCGGAGAGGUAACUGGAAUUCCUGGUGUAGCGGUGAAAUGCGUAGAUAUCAGGAGGAACACCGGUGGCGAAGGCGGGUUACUGGACGAUUACUGACGCUGAGACACGAAAGCGUGGGGAGCAAACAGG